UACCUGGUCAGGCACUCGACGAAUUGUUCAUCCGGGAGGACCUGGGUACACCAGGGGCACCACUGGAUACCCACCGAGGACUAGAAGGGCUAAUGUCUGUUUGGAUAAGAGACCUGGAUGUUAUUACUGUCCCAACUGUGGAAAGGGAUAUCGAUGGCUGAGGAACAUGAAGAAUCAUCUCAAGGUCGAGUGUGGAAAGGACCCGAGCGAGUGCUGUCCUUACUGUCCACAUAAAACGAGAUACAAGAGGAGCCUUCAGAAACACAUUUUGAGAAUGCACUCUACUUAGAUUAAUUGCUGAUUAUUUCAUUAAAUUAUGAUAUUAGUUUGUUGUACGGUUUUACGAGAGGUCUUUGAUUAUUAAAAAGUCUGAUGUUUUGCUCAGGAUUGGUGUGACGUCAUUGAUGGGUACCACCUUCGUUGAGUGUUAAUUAGAUUAUUAAAUUAGUUUGUUAAAGAGGUUUUUGGUAAUUAAAAACGGUUAAAGUUGUGCUCAGGAUCGAUCUGAUAUUUUUGAUAGAUUUUUGUUAAUUAAAAAUGUCUAAUGUUGUGCUUAGGAUUGAUCUGACAUCAUUGACAUGCCCCACCUUCAUCGAGUCUUAAUUAAAUUAUUAAAUUAAUUUAUUAUGAGGCUUUAGAACACAUUUUUAUUAAUUAAAAACGUUUAAUGUUUUGCUCAGAAUCGAUCUGACAUUAUUGAUAGGUUUUUAUUAAUUAAAAAUGUCUAAUGUUUAUCUCAGGAUCGAUUUAACAUCAUUGACAUGUCCCACCUUCAUCGAGUAUUAAUUAAAUCAUGAAAUUAAUUUGUUAUGAGGCUCUAGAACAGAUUUUUAUUAAUUAAAAACGUCUAAUGGUUUUCUCAGGAUCGAUCUGGCAUCAUCGACAUGUCCCACCUUCACCUGAUCCUGUGAAUUCUCCUAAAUUUCAUGGAAGGACAUUCGCUCGUCGUGUCAUCAUAAAAUUACGUGCGGAAACCAUCGAAUUAACACUCCACAAAGUGAUUAAUUCGAGUUUAAUGAGACACCAAAUCAAUCAUCGACAGAUUAACGAACCUGUUCCCAUCAAUUACACCAGAUAAUUCGUUAAUUACGAGUAAACAAACUGUGAUAUGAAGAACAGAUAACGAAUCUCUCCAUUUUUCGGAAUUUAAAUCGAUUAUCGUGGGGUAUCCCAACGAUCCCCUAAUUAAUCGAUAAUUCCACAGCCAUUUGGACUAAUGAACAUGUAAUUACCGCCCCCCCUUCACCGGAAACUCCAUCGACGCUCCUCAAAUCAAUUCGAGGGCCAUAAACCGAAAGGAAAAUGAAGGAAAUAUCGAAAUAUCUCGAUAUCUCGAACCAAUAUAUCGAUUAUUAUGACGCCUUCGAUAUUAUCCAUCAGGACACGUUAAUUACUGAUUUAUAACUCGAACAUAUUUUCUUAAUUUCCACAAAGUCACGAAUUUCUUUCAGGAAAAUUGACUCCUGCAGGACGAGAUGCCCCGCUGUUCCCCAUCGUGAGGCCCCGCCUCCACGUCUGCCCCAGGUGCGGACAGAUGUACUCGUGGGCCUCGAACCUGAGGAAACACCUGAAGAUGGGAUGCGGUAUGGUGACAUGUGAGACACACUUCGCCUGCCAGUACUGCCCCUACAGAUCGAGAAUCCAAGCGAGUUUCCUCAAACAUCUACUCUCGGUCCACAAUAUCAACCGAUUGGCCGGUGUAUGGUCCUUGGAUGGAGGAUUGGAGUGAUGCUGAUAGCAUUGGAGAUAAGGUCCCACUCCACCCAAAAUGGCGAAACAAAUUAUUCUGUCCAGGAUGUGGUAAACCCUUCGCCAGUUACGAUCACCUCUCCGCUCACAGGAGACGAUACUGCGGGGUAGAACCGAAUAUCGUCUGCGGAUAUUGCAAUCACCGGUGCAAACGCGUGUGGGAUAUGAAGGUCCACCUGACUGGAGUCCAUGGAAUACCAAAAGCGGACAUCAACAUCGAGAGGGAUAUUAUUAAAUUAGGGAACGAAUAAGUCUGACUGAAAAUGAUAAUUAAAAUUAAAUUUUUGUUAACGAA